UUGGACAGGUCCUCAUGCAGCACCAUGCCUGACCGCAUGACAGGAGAGGAUGGGGGGGGGGGGGGGACGUUAACGCCACUUCAAUGACCAGUGGCACUUAGCAGCUUGCGCGUGGCGUCGGUGAGGCUGCCCAGCGGCUCCAGGCAGGGGUAGCCGUCCUUCAGGAGCAGCAGGGCCCCGGGCGGGCCGUCGGAGCCUUGCAGCCGCAUGGCCAGACUCUGCAUGCACUGCUUCAGCUUGGCCACCGGGGGGAGCCCACACUGCUCUUUGAAAGCCACCGUUGCACUCUUGAGACAAACGGGAAGAGAAGCAAGCGCGGAGCCUCUCCUCACCAUGGCGUCCUCGCGCAGGUCGGUGGCCUCCUUGAUGGGUGCGGCGGCUGGCUUGAAGGUCUCCUCCAGCA